rnacentral:rRNA from 1 species
UACGGAGGAUUCAAGCGUUAUCCGGAUUUAUUGGGUUUAAAGGGUGCGUAGGCGGUCGGAUAAGUUAGAGGUGAAAUCCCGAGGCUCAACUUCGGAAUUGCCUCUGAUACUGGUUUGCUAGCGAGUAGAUGCUGUAGGCGGAAUGUGUGGUGUAGCGGUGAAAUGCAUAGAGAUCACACAGAACACCGAUUGCGAAGGCAGCGUACCGGCGCCAGACUGACGCUGAGGCUCGAAAGCAUGGGUAGCGAACAGG